AAUUAAUCCAGCCCGUUUUUUUUUACAGAGUGGGCCCAUAAAAGGAAGAAUUCAUAACCCAACUACUCCUCAAAGCCCAGAGCCCAAAACAAACAAUAAUCCGACAUCUUGCGUUGCGUGCGUCGUGCUGGAAUCGAAACUUGAGAAAAGCAUGAAGUUCACAGACUCGCCGGUGAUCGAGCUUCCGGUAAACGACGCCGUUCUGUCGCUGCAGCAAGACAACGGUUCCAUGCACGUGGGAACCUCCGUGUGGCCCUGCUCCCUCGUCCUCGUAAAAUUCACGGAGCGUUGGGCCUCACCCUCAGACAACAACCCGUACGCCAGCGUGCUGGACUUCGGAGGCAAACGGGCUGUGGAGCUGGGCACGGGCUGCGGCGUGGCGGGGAUGGGCUUGUUCUUAUUGGGCCUGACGGACCUGGUCCUCACGGAUAUCGCGCCCGUGAUGCCGGCCCUGAAGCGCAACCUGAAGGUGAACAAGCCCAUCCUCCGCAAGACCCUGAAACACUCCAUUCUUUACUGGAACAACGCGCAGCAGAUCGCCGCCCUCAACCCUCCCUUCGACUUCGUCGUCGCGACCGACGUCGUUUACAUUCGCGAGUCCGUGCCGUCUUUGGUUUCCGCCAUGGAAACCCUAGUCUCCGACAACGGCGUCGUUUUGCUCGGCUACCAGCUUAGGGCACCCGAAGCACACGAGCUUUUCUGGGAACUUUGCGACAAAGCCUUCCACAUCGAGAAAGUCCCACACGAGCAUCUGCAUCCCGAUUAUGCUUACGAGGAGACCGAUGUUUUUCUGUUGAGGAAGAAAAACGAGAAGCAGUGAGCGAGUGAGAGUGAUGGAAGAUAAAGACAGUUUUUGGGAUUGCUAUUUGGUAAAUGUGAUGAAAGAGGCAACAGUCAUGCAGGAGAGUAUAUGAAUCAUCUGAUGCUAGGGUGAUGGAAUGUGGUUGGCCCUGGCGUUUAUGCCGAUCCUCCAAAUGAUUGUCAACAAGAGAUCUUGAAUAUUUGUGAGGCGUGCUUGCUGCUGUACUGUAAAUGUCUUUGUUUUUCAUAGAUUUAGGCUCCCUUGUGAUAAGGUGAAAAAAAAAAGGUAGUGAAUGGGGGCGAUUAAAUGAGACUAAAGCUAGUUGCAUAAUUUUAGUUCUUUUAUCAUAUUUAACCUUCUUUUUACACAUUAGUGUUUGUAUUAUGGUAUAUGUUCCAUAGGUGAGGAGUGUGCAAACCUUGUCUGUAUACUCUUUAUCCUAAAUGAAUGAAUUUGCAUAUCGUGCGCAACAAA